rnacentral:rRNA from 1 species
CAGUCGCCGCGGUAAUACGAAGGGUGCAAGCGUUACUCGGAAUUACUGGGCGUAAAGCGUGCGUAGGUGGUGGUUUAAGUCCGUUGUGAAGGCCCUGGGCUCAACCUGGGAAUUGCAGUGGAUACUGGGUCACUAGAGUGUGGUAGAGGAUAGUGGAAUUUCUGGUGUAGCAGUGAAAUGCGUAGAGAUCGGAAGGAACAUCUGUGGCGAAGGCGACUAUCUGGGCCAACACUGACACUGAGGCACGAAAGCGUGGGGAGCAAACAGGAUUAGAUACCCCAGUAGUCCCUGUCUCUUAUAC